AGUUCAAUCUGUUUCAACUUUUUCGGCGUCGUCGAUGGCGUUGACAUUAACUCCAGCAUAACAAGGGAAAUCACAAAAUUAAAAAUGCUUAUAAAAACAGAAAAAGUUUCUGUCACUCUGUCAGUACCCUAAGCAUAGACGCUCUAAAUUGUUCUGGUAUCUUUUCAUCGCGAAGUCGGAGAAGGCGAGCAAAGUCAAACAAUUUAUUUUCAAUGCUUCCCGCUCUGACGAAAAAUAUAAAUGGUCACAUUGUAGUUUAUUGGCCUGUUCCAGAACUGCAAGAAUGUAAAACUUUACUACGACAUCCCAUUUUCCCUUUAUGAUAUCAAAAAAAUGCAAAACCCGUAGACUUUGCAGGUUCUGUUGGAUCAGAGCAUAUAUUAUGGUACAAUAUGGACAAGACAAGAAAAUAAAAAAAAUUGAAAUCGUUGGAAGCUUUGCCCUUUCUUGAUUUCAAUGUAGUAUGGUUCCAUUCAAGGAUUAUCUGCUAGGUAGUGUGGUCAUGCCAAGUGUUUUUUUAACCAUAAAUAUGAAAUUGCAAAAAUUUUUACAAAAGUACAGAACAUAUGUCAGCACACAUGCGAAUCUUAACACUUCCCUAAAGUCCGAAUAAGAAAUUGGCAAUGCAGUUAAAAUAUUUACUUCGAUAGUCAACACCACUAAAUUUCCUAAGCCAGAAAAUAAUCCCUACAAGCCAUCGACCAUUCGAAAACACCUGUUUUGAAAAAGGAAAGCCACAAGAGAAUGACAGAAACACCGCUCCUCUAGGCUAAAAGAAUGUGAAAAACUUCUAAAGCAAGCACGAAGAGCGAAACUUAAAAAUAUUCUUAAAUAACCUGGAACCCACAGAGAUAACUGACUACAGCUUAUGGAAAGCCACAAAAAACUUGAAAAUAUCUAUCGCCCACGGAUCUUCAAUUCGCCUAAAAAAUGGUACUUGGGCAAAAACUACAGAAGAAACAGUAAACACAUUUGAUAAUAAACAUAAUUUGAUAAACACAUAAUGAUUCCGAAACAUGGAAAAGAUCCAACGGAUCCAUAUCGGUAAUACAAAGAAGACUUACAUGGAAACAAAUCAUCGACGAAAAAUUAUCCAAAUUAAACUAAAAAGGCCAAUUUUGACGUGAUAAUUGAUAAAUGUUCUUCUAUUAAAUUGGAAUACAAAGUCGUAUUAUAUAAGACAGUAAUAAAGCCAAUUUGGACUUAUGGCAUACAACUCUGUGGCAUAGCUAGUGCCUCUAACUUCUUGUAUGAUCAACGUUUUUCGUCGCCCACUGUUAUACUUCUACAGUAGUAUGGUAAAAUGGAGGCCGUUUCUGUGAAGUAAUUAUUAUUGUAGUCCGCGAGAUGAUUAUAUUUAACUGUAUGUAAGAAAGCAACAUUAUAUCCGUAAGACUAUUUCCGUAUUCCGCGAAUCACUCUAAACUAAUCUAAUCACUAAUCACAUCUAAACUAAUAUGAAUAACCUACUCACAAAAAACACAUCUAUAUCUUGAAAAAAAAAAUAAUAAUAAAAAUUAGAUCAUGAAAAAUAUAGGGUAAUUGUAUUGACAACCCCUCUAUAAAAAAUAAUAGUACGUAAGAUAUCAAUAAUUAUUGUUAUUUUUAUCAAAAUGUAUGAAAUAUUCAAUAAAUUAAACUAAUAUUACAAAUAAGAAAAAAAAAAAUCAAAACCAAAAAAGAAAAAGAAGUAAAAAACUUGCCUUAACAAGGCAAAACUCAAAAAUUCAGCCGAGCCUGGCUGUGGGAUUUGAACCGCGGACCUCGGUGUGCAGCCAACUAGAAGUUGCCGUCUCUACGUUCAGAGCCAUUAACCCGUCUUUCUAGAAGCAGCACUAAAACAAGUGUAUGCAUUGGAAGCAAUGUAGUUGUUGUGGACAAAAAAUCCAUCACUACAAAAACAAAACUUUGCUGUGAAAAAGAUCUACCAAUAGAACUUGAGUCGAACCUGGAGAGUUUCUAGUGUAUAAUUCGCAUAUGCUAAUUUGCAAUAAGUUCGAAAUAUAUACUACUUUCCAGAGAACGGCCCUUGUAAGCCAUCAUCCACACCAAAUAUGCCUGAUGAGCCCCUUAACCAACGGCGAAACGCGUCGCAUAGUGGUGAGUGUGUGAUAGUGUCUAUCUGGCUUUCCUUUUCACUGCAAAUUUCAGAUCAUUAAGCUCGUCUCGAAAGAGGAAACAAACACAUAAAUCAUAAAACAUAUGAUCUUCGCCUUAACAAGGCAAAA